GUAAUUGUGGUCUGACACCAUGACAACAAUUACCCUGCUGAAGACAGUAUUACACAAGCAAUUUGGAACGAGAUGUCAUAAAGUACCCAAGAUACUGAUCCUGUUACUGAUAAUUAUUGUUCAAAAUCAGAAUCUGCACACACAUCUAGAGACAAUUACUUGAGUGCAAAUACACAAAAUCAAAUAUAAAUAAGGUAAAAUACCCAUCAGUAUCAAACAAACAAAAACAUUUUGUAAACAUACUUUAUCAACCGAAGUUGAUUGUUUUCGUUGUUGCAACAGACAAAUCUGUUUACAUCUGACCGGAAGUCACCAACUCGUCUAGCCGCAAGGAGUUAUGGUCUACUGGAAUAUAGCGAAUGAUGUUAGUCAGUGAAGGACCUGAUUCGCUUCCUGAAGCGUAAGGAUGACACUUGUGACAUCCGACAACAGCUGGGGAAUGCUCAGAUUGUGCAGAAUGACCUGAUCCCAAUUCUUGUCCAUUACACUGGCGACAAUACGCUCUGGGAAACGGUCGUCAGAUUGCUGGUAAAUCUGACCCAGCCAGCCUUCCUGUGUUUCAAGAGUCACAUUUCGGAAGUGAAGACAUUGCGCAAUAAUUACUUGGACCUCGAGUCCCAUCUACAGACUAUGAAGAAGGCCUGGGAGCAUCGUUAUGAAGAGCACAGACUUCUCAUAGAGCGUCUGCUGAUACUGAUCAGGAAUGUGCUGCACAUUCCCCCCAACCCGGACUCCGAGCAGAGAACUGAUGAUGAUGCCAGCUUUCAUGAUCAAGUGUUGUGGUUGGGGUUGUCAGAUGGGAUACCUGUCUAUAUCAACAUCAUCUGAAACCCCCUUGAUCGCCUCCUUUCCUACUACUACUUCAUGCGAUACGGGGGGAACUUUCGGCCGCAGGUCAAACGCAGGAGAAUGGGCAGUGACAUGGUACAAUUGAUUGUUCUUGAUCAUAUACAUUUGACGAGUGCGUGGAGCAGGGACAGAAGGAUUGUGACCCAGUCAAUCUCUGGCUGCAGAUCCCAUUCUUCUGUGGACAUUCCUUUAGAUGCAGCCAGGCAGUCGCUGGGCCCUGGACAUGGCCAAGUACAACCUGAUCAACCACUUCCUGCCGGUUGGGAUUACUGAGGAGCUGGGGGACUUCAUAGCCAUGUUGGAGGUCAUACUGUCUCGCUUCUUUCAUGGUGCCAUGGAGCUCUAUCUCAGUGGAGAGAGAUCCCAUUUACGACAGACAAACAAGAAGGAAUCGCCCAGUGAGGGGUCCAUCAAGAAGAUCCAAGAGUCCACCAUAUGGAAGAUGGAACAGGAUUUCUACGAGUUUGCCUCCAUCCAGUUCAAUUUCCAGAAACGUUUGUUGUUCCAAGCGGUUGACAGCAUGGAACCGGGCGAAAAUAUAUCAGAUCGGAAGAGUUACCUACUCUCUGAUGGGAAGUUAUAUGUACCUCAAGAAGUUCAAAUUCAUCACGAGAAAGUUCGGCCCAGAUGAUAGGUGCUUUCCUGCUGUGAUAUGAAUUACCUCUAUAAGUGUAUACAUGUGUAUUGAUAUUCUUGUUGAUUCUGGUGCUUUCUAUGAUGUUUUUAAUGAUUUGUUCAGUAAUACAAUAUCUGCAAAUCAUAAUCUAGUGGACUGUGGUAAGGUAGUGGAAACAUUUCCCAGAAUAGAAAAAUUAGUGAUAUUGACCAAAAGGUAGCAGUGAAGUUAAGAACCAAUUAAAGAAAUUAAUAAAUAAAGAAAGAAAAUUUUGCUUUCAUAUGUGUAACAUUUUUGCAUAAUAACGUUUAAAAGUUAAUCCAAACACUUUCUUGCAGUUAAUGGGUGAUUCAAUCACUAACAUAAUUCGUUGA